GACGAACGCUGGCGGCGUGCCUAAUACAUGCAAGUAGAACGCUGAAGGCGGAGCUUGCUUCUCUGGAUGAGUUGCGAACGGGUGAGUAACGCGUAGGUAACCUGCCUGGUAGCUGGGGAUAACUAUUGGAAACGAUAGCUAAUACCGCAUAAUAGUAGAUGUUGCAUGACAUUUGCUUAAAAGGUGCAAUUGCAUCACUACCACAUGGACCUGCGGUGUAUUAGCUAGUUGGUGGGGUAACGGCUCACCAAGGCGACGAUACAUCGCCGACCGGAGAGGGGGAUCAGCCACCCUGGGAGUGAGACAGGGCCCAGAGGGCUACGGGAGGCAGCAGGAGUGAUUCUGCGGCAAUGAGCGGAAGUCUUACCGAGCUACGCCGCGGGAGUGAGGAGGAUUUUCGGGUCGGAAAGCACGGUUGUAAGAGAAGAACGAGUGUGAGCGUGGAAAGUACAGACAGUGACGGUAUCUGACCAGGAAGGGACGGCUAACUACGUG
rnacentral:rRNA from 1 species